UAAAUUAAUCUGUGCUUUCAUUAAAUAUUUUCAUUUUGCAUCCUAAGAUUAUGAUUUCAACUUAGGAUUUUUGUGGUGAUUUCAUCUGCGCUGAUCUUAUUUUGGUGGGUUCUGGUUCCGGUGUCUUUGGUGUCUGUGGCUAACUUCACUCUGCUUCCUCUGAGGCUGCUCCUUCCCCCCUUGGCGCUGAGGCUGAUUGAUCACGCCUGAUUCUGCUCUGCAAUCAAGCACUCCUCAACACAGCUGCACAGACUUGCCUCAGCGCCAGAGUAUCACCUGCCUCACAGAGUGUGCCUCACUCCUUGCCUCACAUCAGCCCAAACCCAGCACACACUCCCAGGAGCCCCUCACUACCUCAGACCUAGCUGUCUGGGUGUCCUCUUCAGACCGACCCACAAACCACCAGAACUUCCUCCGUCUGCUCACAAACGUUUAUUACAGGCCCGGCCUGGAGGACGCUGUGGUCGUCUCUUCAGCUCCAGUGAAGGAGUAAAGUCUGUAGGCUGAACUUCAGCAGCUGAAAACCUUCAGCGAAAAAUGUCGGAACUUUGAAAGGCGACCUCUUAUAUCAUUAUAUAUGUAUAAUUUCUGGUUCAUCUGUACACUGCUUGGGGAGUGCUUAUGCAAGUGUUCCAUGCCGAUCAAGUUUUGAAUAGAACUGAAUUCAAAAAAUCUUUGGACAUGACCUUUAAAAAUCUAAUGGGAACUGAUUUCCCUCCUGCGUUUUUGACAAAAGAACAAGUGAAAUGUCUCUGUGCUACUUCUCAUCGAAGCCGUGCUACACACUACAUCAUUUUAGGCCUGAUUUGAGUCUGAUUUGCUCCCAUUGUUUUAUGGCUCCUGAUUGGGUUGGAGCUCCAUAAAUCAUAAAUGUGAAACAUGUUUGAUAUGUAUAAUUCCAGAACUGACUGCCAAAGGAACACCUGCAAUAGCUGAUGCAAUCAGGCAGAUCUGGAAGCUCAACAACGUCAUACAGCUCACAAACAUGGCAGCAAACAUCAGCACAAAUGAGUAAAGUGGAGA